UACAGAGGUGGCAAGCGUUGUUCGGAAUUACUGGGCGUAAAGGGCGCGUAGGCGGCCUUGUAAGUCUCGUGUGAAAGCCCUCGGCUUAACUGAGGAUCUGCACGGGAUACUGCGAGGCUCGAGUUCGGGAGAGGAAAGCGGAAUUCCGGGUGUAGCGGUGAAAUGCGUAGAUAUCCGGAGGAACACCAGUGGCGAAGGCGGCUUUCUGGACCGACACUGACGCUGAUGCGCGAAAGCUAGGGGAGCAAACGGG
rnacentral:rRNA from 1 species